GGUGGAUGUGGCGAACGGGUGAGUAACACGUGGGCAAUCUGCCCUUCACUCUGGGACAAGCCCUGGAAACGGGGUCUAAUACCGGAUACCACUCCUGCCUGCAUGGGCGGGGGUUGAAAGCUCCGGCGGUGAAGGAUGAGCCCGCGGCCUAUCAGCUUGUUGGUGGGGUAAUGGCCCACCAAGGCGACGACGGGUAGCCGGCCUGAGAGGGCGACCGGCCACACUGGGACUGAGACACGGCCCAGACUCCUACGGGAGGCAGCAGUGGGGAAUAUUGCACAAUGGGCGAAAGCCUGAUGCAGCGACGCCGCGUGAGGGAUGACGGCCUUCGGGUUGUAAACCUCUUUCAGCAGGGAAGAAGCGAAAGUGACGGUACCUGCAGAAGAAGCGCCGGCUAACUACGUGCCAGCAGCCGCGGUAAUACGUAGGGCGCAAGCGUUGUCCGGAAUUAUUGGGCGUAAAGAGCUCGUAGGCGGCUUGUCACGUCNNAUGUGAAAGCCCGANGCUUA
rnacentral:rRNA from 1 species